AAUAAAUUUGUUAUCGCUAUCAUAUUUGUCUAAAUCUGUAAUUUAAUUAGUUACUAAAAUUACAUGAUUUUUUAACGUGCAACAUAUUUUAAGAAUAAGAGUGCUGUGGAUGUCUAUAGUCGGUUUCUCAUGCAGAUGGCAGACCAGUAACUGAUAGUAAUAAAUGUUUCUGACAAAUUAAAUACUUUCUGAUUAGCCUAUAUCAUUGGAAAACGUUGCUAGGAAACAAUGUUUCUUGGCUUACACACGUAAAAAUUUCGCAGCUUGUCAACAAAAUGUGUUUGCACUGCUUGUUCCAAGUUAUUAACAAGUCUGGGACAUGUUGUUACCAUCUUACAACAAGAUUGAAAAAGGCCAACACUCAACAGACUCGCAACAAGUUGUUCCACGAAGUCUGACAUCGUCUGCACGUAACAACUUGUUAACAAGUUGAUGACAACAAGCUCGUAGCAACUUGUUACGAACACGUUUUAUUUUGGGGAGGCUAAUCAGUUCCAGCUAAGUUGGGAAUCAUGUAGUUAAGAUUUUCAGCCAAGUGCAAACACGGCCCGCAAAACAUGACUUAACUGUAACAGAGUACCAUAAUAGGAGCGGUGAAAAUGGAAAAUUGGGGCUCGGAAAUGCCAUUUCCUGCACUUUCCGGAACUGAGUUGAAUUGAAGAAUUUGGAUGAAAAAAAAAACGCUGCUGUCAACACCAGAGAUUUGUGGCUUAUGGACAACCUCGUUCCCAGGGCCUUUUUUGAAAAUAUGGAUUAAACAACUGUCAUAACAGAAAUUCGGGACCGACUUUUGAUGCAGUCUCAAUCAAAACUGGGACCGACUUUUUGUGAUUUUCGAGUUUGCAAGGGGCCGGUUGUUCAAAGCUGAUUGUUCAAAGCAUAUCCAUUUAUUUCAAAACUUCAGAAAAUAAAACUUGUAUUGAUUCAGACAAGAUUUAUGGAAAAAUAUAUCCAGGUUUACAACUGAAAUGUUGAUAACAUUGCUUUGACGAUUUUGUUAACCUGGGAUUAAAGAUGUGGUACAGUCCGUAUGUAAACAAAGGCUUUG